AAUUGGAGGGCAAGUCUGGUGCCAGCAGCCGCGGUAAUUCCAGCUCCAAUAGCGUAUAUUAAAGUUGUUGCAGUUAAAAAGCUCGUAGUUGAAUUUCGGGAUCAAUAUUUCGGUCAUGCCGUUGGUAUGCACUGUUAUCAUUGAUUUCUCACCUUCUAAAGAACCGUAAUGCCAUUAAUUUGGUGUUACGGGGAAUUAGGACUGUUACCUUGAAAAAAUUAGAGUGUUUAAAGCAGGCUCACGCUUGAAUACAUUAGCAUGGAAUAAUGAAAUAGGACAUCCGAUUCUAUUUUGUUGGUUUCUAGGAUCGAUGUAAUGAUUAAUAGGGAUAGUUGGGGGCAUUAGUAUUCAAUUGUCAGAGGUGAAAUUCUUGGAUUUAUUGAAGACUAACUACUGCGAAAGCAUUUGCCAAGGAUGUUUUCAUUAAUCAAGAACGAAAGUUAGGGGAUCGAAGACGAUCAGAUACCGUCGUAGUCUUAACCAUAAACUAUGCCGACUAGGGAUCGGAUGAUGUUAAUUUUUUAAUGACUCGUUCGGCGCCUUACGGGAAACCAAAGUGU
rnacentral:rRNA from 1 species